rnacentral:tRNA from 1 species
UGUGCCGUGGCUUAGUUGGUUGAAGCACUGGUCUAGCGAAUAGAGUCGUGGGUUCGAAUCCCGCCAGAACGC